GGGAAAAAGGAGGCAUAUUUAGAUACGGAUGCACAGCCGUAGGAUUAUCAGAUCAAACAAAGCUCUUCAUAACUUCAUUAUGCAACACGUUAGGAUGUGACAGUAUGACGAUAAUAUAUAUUAACAGUACCGCGAAGUAAAACAAAAUAUUUUGUUAGUACAAACUUACAAAAAAUACAGUAUUUUAAUUCUGAUUUAAGUUGCACAAAAGGUUUCACCAGGCAAAAUGCGCAAAUAUGAAGACUAGUCCAGCUCAGCU